ensembl:lncRNA
ACACAGUUGAUUUAUGUUUAGUUGUUUUGAAGAGAAAGCUGACUGUCACUGAUAAGGUUAGGGUUAGACCAACAGAAAGGAGGGAAAACACAUUCCAUCAAGUUCACGAUUCAGUCCCAUCUUUAUUGUCACAAUCACAGCAUGAUGAUCAUAUACAUUAAAACAUAAUUAUGUUAUAAUACAGAAAAACUGAAAACCCCAAAGCAUUGAAAAAUCAGAGGAGGUUAGAGGAAAAGAGAUGGCAAAAAAGCAUCCAAACAUUUUAGAAUCUGUUAAUCAAUGAAACAAUUCAUUUGUCAGUUAAUCAAUAUAUGAUUUUCUGAUUCCAUGUUCAAAACAAUAUAUAAUAUCAAAACUAAGGUAUAUAAUAUAUAAUUACUGUUAAAUUAAUUCACUUGCACAGCAAAUUCAUAAAGUACACUUAAAUUAAUUUGUAGGACUUCAUUUGUCAGGUCAAGUAAUGAUCUUUGGCGUCCUCACUCCUUGCAGGGGCUGUGUGCUCGUGUUGUACCUUCUGGUGUGUCUAAUCCCGGCCAUCUGUGGGAAAGGUGCAGUAUAGCUUAGAAAACACACAAAAAACUAGCCAUUCAAUAACCACAGCCCGAUUGAACCAAUCACAGCCCUAUUGAACCACAGCCCUAUUGAACCAAUCACAGCCCGAUUGAACCAAUCACAGCCCUAUUGAACCAAUCAAUCACAGCCCUAUUGAACCGUCCACCUCUCUGUCUUCAGAGGUUUACAUAUAUUACUAAUUUGGUUUCAUUUACUGUUAAUUGCUGAAAUAGUUUGUUUUAGACCAAACAGAUGUUAGACCUCAACAACCCGUAGCACCCUCUAGCCUAACCUGGCCGGGGACCAGUCUUUGAACUAUUUCCCUUUACGCUUAAGCUUGCAAGAUACGUUUAAGUUGCCAGUCUUGGGAGGAAGUGGAAUUUGAAUUUGAAUUUGAGAGAGAGAGAGAGAGAGAGAGAGAGAGAGACAUGAGAGAGGGUAUGAGAGUGAGAGAUAGGGAGAGAGACAGAAAGAACUAGAGAGAGAAAGAGAGAUGAGAAAGGAUAUGAGAGAGAGAGGGAGAGAGACAAGAAGUUGAAAUGUACCUGAUAGAUGAUUGACAGCACUAUCAGAAUCCCCAGAGUCAUCACCAGAGGUAAGGGGAGCUCCACCCACUGCACCUUCCAGUCGUGCCUGUCUUCCUGGGUCGGCGUCGGUCCGGUCGCCUGGUCCACAGCCGACGGCUGCUCCUCUGCUUGCUUCUGCGUGCGGAGCUGGAAUUCCGGUAGGGAGCAGUCUGGCUUCUCUGUGGAAUGGAAAACAGUCAGAACCCGCACUGUGAAAAACACAAACUAGACCAAAACAAAGUCAACCAGACAAAACAAGAUGAGGAGAAGCAAACACCUCUAAUCUGAUGAUCUAAUCUAAUGAUUUGCUAAUCUGUUGUCAUAGCGAAGCUUCCGCUGCUGCUAACUGCUCAACUGAGUCACAGAGAGCUGAGGUGCCAUCACCAGCAUGGGGGAAGACAUGUGGGGAGAGGAA